CUCCAAUAGCGUAUAUUAAAGUUGUUGCAGUUAAAAAGCUCGUAGUUGAACCUCAGACCUGGCCGGGCGGUCCGCCUCACGGCGUGUACUGUCUGGCUGGGCCUUACCUCUUGGUGAGCCGGCGUGCCCUUCGUUGGUGUGCGUCGGGGAACCAGGACCUUUACCUUGAGAAAAUUAGAGUGUUCAAAGCAGGCCUAUGCCCGAAUACAUUAGCAUGGAAUAAUGAAAUAGGACGUGCGGUUCUAUUUUGUUGGUUUCUAGAGUCGCCGUAAUGAUUAAUAGGGAUAGUUGGGGGCAUUGGUAUUGAGCCGCUAGAGGUGAAAUUCUUGGAUUGGCUCAAGACCGACUACUGCGAAAGCAUUUGCCAAGGAUGUUUUCAUUAAUCAAGAACGAAGGUUAGGGGAUCGAAAACGAUCAGAUACCGUUGUAGUCUUAACAG
rnacentral:rRNA from 1 species